rnacentral:lncRNA from 1 species
AUGCCGCUGAUUUUCCAAGAAACGCAGUUCAACACUACGAGGAGGUACCACCUCACACUGGCCAGGAUGGCCACCAUUAACAAGCCUGCGAAUAAUAAAUGCCGGAGAGGGGGUGGAGAAAAGGCCAACAUUCACAUUAUAGGAGUACCAGAAGGAGAAGAGAGAGAGAGUGAAUCUGAGAAAAUAUUUGAAGAGGUAAUAGCUGAAAACAUCAAACUCGAGCUGUCACACGAUCCAGCAGUCCCACUCCUGGGCGGAUAUCCGGACAGACUAAUUCAGAAAGACACGCAGCCCAGGGCCCAGGCCGCGCCGCCCCGGCGGGCGGGGAGCGCCGCCCCGCGCGGGGGGGGCCGGCGGNNNNNNNNNNNNNNNNNNNNNNNNNNNNNNNNNNNNNNNNNNNNNNNNNNNNNNNNNNNNNNNNNNNNNNNNNNNNNNNNNNNNNNNNNNNNNNNNNNNNGCCACGCGGGACACCGAGCGAACCGCCGCGAGACGCCCCCGCUGCCACUCACACGGGGAACCCGAAACAGGACGCCCGCAAACCUGGGUAGCAGAGACUCACGGACCGAGGGCACGGAGGCGUCUCUGCGGCCGCCGAGAGGAGGGGGGGGGAGGGACUGGGAGGUUAGGGUGAGCAGAGGCAAACCGGUGCCCAAGGGACGCGCGACAAGGCCCGACUGCGCAUACACCGGGCGUCCAUUCAACGCCCCAGGGCGAACCGCCCCGGAAAGAGCAGGAAAAAGGAGGCAACGUGCAGCGGAGUCACCUGCUCCACAGAAGUCAGAACACCACGGUGAAUCAACGAUUCGUCAACGAAAGAAGCGUCAGCUCUCCCAUUUAACCUUGCGUUAUGACGACAGGUCCAGGUCCAAAUCCGUCUGCAGGCAGGCGUGUCCCAGCACCGCCAUCAGUCGCGGAAGGCACAGCUUUCACCGCCGAACGCGCUCGGCAUCUUUGCCAAAGUGUCUGUCUGACUUUAGUAUGAGAGCCAUGCUGGCCUCCUUGGUGGCUCAGAAGGUAAAGAAUCUGCCUGCAAUGCAGGAGACCCGGAUUCAAUUUCUGGGUCAGGAAGAUCCCCUGGAGAAGACAAUAGCUACCACUCCAGUAUCCUCGCCUAGAGAAUCCCGUGGGCAGAGGAGUCUGAAGGGCAACAGUCCACGGGGUCGCAGAGAGCUGACCACGACCGAGCCUCUAACACUCACUUCACUGUCAGUCCUGGCCUCAUGGAACGGGCUCAGCACUGUUUUCCCCUCGGGACUACAGAUUCGGGAUGGACAUGUGCACAGGGCCAGAUUCACAGCGGACAGCCGACAGGAUCUGCAGCAGAACACAGGGGGCCUGCUCUGCGCCGCGCGGCAGCCCGGCCAGGGGCACUUGAAGGGAUGCAUGAACACCCUGAGGCCCUCCGCCGCCCACCUGAAAUCAUCUCAACACUGUUAACAGGCUGCACCCCAAUACAGAAUAAAAAGUUGGAAGAAAAAGCAGCAAGGUUCUCCCCUCUUCAAUAUCUGGGAAGAAUUUGCGAACUGGUGUCAGUCCUUUACCCGUCAGAACUCACCAGUGAGGCCGUUAGGCCCCGGGCUCCUCUCUGUCCAGAAGCUUUCGGUAACCGACUCCACCACCUAGCUUGACGACAGUACGAGCCCUACUCUCUAUCUCGUCUGGCGGUCUGUGCAUCUCCAGGAAUCUGCUUCACCCGGGCUACGCAAGUCAGUCCCGUACAUGUGUUCCGAGUUAGAAUCCUCUUCAUUCAUGAAAAUGGUUAGUUAUAUCUCCACUUUCUUUUCUGACUUUAGUGAUAAGAACCUUUAAAAAAUUCUCAGUUAAUCUAAAGGGUUUUCUGCUCUAACCUGGACUAUUUCCUUCCCUUUUAAGCUCUGGGUUUAAACGGUUCUUUUUCUAGUUCCUCAGGAAGUGAAGUCAGGUUGUUGAUCUGAGAUCUUUUCGCUGUCAGCACUUGAGGCUGCACUCUGCCCCUCAGCACUUCUGCGCCGAGUCCUGUGCGUUUGCAGGGCCACUGUUCCCAGACCAGGGACGGGACCUAGGCUUCCAGCAGCGAACGCACCGAGUCCUAACCCUGCCCGAGUCCCAGCCCUAAACAGUUAACGACUUCUCUUGUGACUGCUCCUCUGGCCCGGCAGUUCUGUAAGAAUGUGCUGUUUGCCAUCGAUGGUGUCUGUGGCUUGUCCAGUUUUCCGCUUGUUACUGACUUCUGACUGACUCUCAUUGUGGUCCGAGAGGUACCUUGGGGACUUCCCUGGCGAUUGGUGGCUAAGAUGUUGCUUUCCAGCACAGGGGGUGCACGUUCCACCCCUGGUUGGGGAGCAGAUAUCCCACAUGCCUCAAGGCCAAGAAAUCAAACAUAAAACAGAAACAAUAAGUGUAACAAAUUCAAUAGACUUCAAAAGUGGUCGACAUCACAAGAAAAAAGAAAGGUACUUCGUAUGACAACCUACUUUUUAAAACCUUCUGAGACUUACUACGGCUCAACAUGUAUUCUAUCAUGGAGAGCGAGCGUGUCCACUUGGGCAGAGCGUGUGUGCUGGUGGCGGGGGCAGAGACCCGUGCCUGCUGGACGCGGCCCGUUCAGGGAGCCGCUCCCGCCCCCAGAGUCCAUCCACUGUCAGUGUCUGCGUCAGACUCCCCUCCCCUCAGCUCUGGCCAUUUGUGCCUCAAGGAUCCUGACGGCUGUGGAACGGUGUGCAGACGCUCGGCGCUGCUGGGCCUUCUUGCUGUACCGGUGCAGCUGCCGUCUCUUUUGGUUACGACCUGCAUGAGUCCUCUGCACACCGUUUCACACCGAACAUCUCUCUCUCUUUGGCUCCAAAGUCAGUCUCUUGUGGAGGGCAAGUAAAGGGCUCAUGUGUUUCUAUCCAAACCGCCAACCUGCCAUGUGCCUGGCGAGUCUGAUGCACGCACAGGUGAAGAAUCGCUAACAGGGAGGCACUCGCUUCAGUCCUCUCCCUGCUUGCUCUCCACAUGCCUCGUCGCUUCUUUGUCCCGCAUUUCCUGCACGGCCAUCUUCUUUUGUUAUUGAUUGAUUCUUUAUAGCAAAACACUUUUAAUUCCCUUCUCAUUUCCUUCCGAGUGUAUCUCAUGGCUAGCUUCUUCCUUGUAGCCGUGGAAUUCCAGUUAGCACCCUACAGCGGCAGCAGCUGACCGGGCCAAUUCACACCAGCUCACCUUCACUAACAUACAAAACUGUUCCCGUGCAACCCGGAGCCCACGCCCUCUCCCUCACGGACGUCACCAAAUCACAUCUCUGUGCACCGCGUCCUCCCAGAAGAUGGACAGCUGGGUUAGUCCCUGAAAUCGAGUGGAGACAAUAAGGUGGGUCACAGCAGCGCCAGCUUUUCUGACCGUCUGUGUGUCUCCUUUACCAGGUCUUCCCUUCCUCACAGGGCUCUGGGUCACUGUCCAGCGCCGUCCAAUCUGAAGGAACCGCCUCUCUACAGGCAGGUCUGUGGUAAAGAGCUCGCUCGGCUCUGGCUUCUCUGGAAGCUCUCAGCUUCUCUCUCAGUUCUGAAGGACAGUGUUCCCCAUGACAGGUUUCCUGGUUGACAGCUUUCCCCUCUAGAUUCUGAACACAGCAACACAGCCUCCAAGGUUUCUGACGAGAAAUUCAAUAAUCUUUGAUUUUCAGCUCACUGUUGUUCUCAAGAUACUGUUCACUUCAUCACCAGCUCUGUUAACGGGUCAUCCUCUCGGCGUAGCAGCUGGCACCGCAGAGCACCGCAGACGCUGCAGGGCUGGCUCCGGCCAGCGCCAGACAGCGAGGCUGCACGAGACCGAGCCACACGGACUUCCCGGCGCACCUAAGCUACGCGUGCACCACCCUCUCGUCUAUUCAGUGUGCAACAGUGUUAUGGCUAAGAAAAUGUACGUGCCUUUAUUUCAAAAUACUUCAUCACUAAAAUCACCAAGCACCCCGGAGCCUCCAGGGAGUUGUGAUCUUUCCGCAACAGUCACAUCAAACAUCACUGACCACAGAUCACCAUAACACAUCCAACUAAGUUCCAAAUAUUUUGAGAGUUACCAAAAUGUGACAGACAUCUGACCUGAGCCAACGGUGUGGAAAAAACGGUGCUGACAGACUCGCUCGACACGGGGUUGCCACAAACCUCCAAUCUGUAAAAACGCGCUACUUGCCAGGUGCAAGGAAGCAAAGUGUGUUAACAUGAGGUAGGCAGGCAGCACUGUCAGCGCGGUUACUAACGGUCAGCACAGGCAGCAGGCGCCCACGGCACAGGGCCGCGCUGAGGCCUCCCUGCCGACGAGGCGGCGCCCGUGGACUACGCCGAGCUCCUCAAGAUCGUGGCCCCACGCAGCUUCACCAGGGCGGCUCUGACAUCAAGGAACAGCAGCAGAGCUCCUCCACCUCCAAGGCGCUUUUCCAUGAAGGCCAUGCCAUGAAGGUUUGGGGGACUUAAAAAUCACUAUACUUACUUAUUUUGGCACAUGGGUUUAGUUGCUCUGUGGCCUGUGGGAUUUUCCCGGAUCAGGGAUCGACCCCAAGUCUCCUGCGUCGGCAGGCAGACGCUUCGCCGCCGAGCCACAGGGGAGGCUCCACCUUCAUUUCAGGUGAAGUGCAGGUGGCUCUCCACGCUGCCCGCCUCUGCCGCGCAGCGCAGUGGCUCAGCCGCACACACGGAGUUCCUUCUCGCGCUCUUCCCCACGACGGCCCAUCACAGGAUGCUGAAGACAGUUGUCCGUGCGGUACAGAGGCGCCGCUCCCUCACCCGCCCCCUGGACGACAGCCCGAGUCUGCUCCCCGCGAAGCCCCAGCUCCCGCGCGCCGGCGGCCACACUCGAGCGCAGCGACACACUUAGGCCGGCGUCCUCACGCCGCCGCCUCCUCUGGGAGGGCCACACGCUGCCGCUUCUCAGUCAGUUCAGCUCAGCCGCUCAGUCGUGUCCGACUUUUUGCGACCCCAUGGCCUGCAGCACGCCAGGCUCCUAUGUCCAUGGGAUUUUGUAGGUAAGGAUACUGGAGUGGGCUGCCAUUUCCUAACCUGGGGGAUCUUCUUGAUCCAGGGACUGAACCCAUGUCCCCUGCAUUGGCAGGUAGAUUAUUUACUGCUGAACCACCAGGGAAGCCUCAAAGGGUACACUUAAUUAACAUUAUUUCAUAUGCUAUAUUCCAUCAUUACAAUUUUAAUACUUAAUGACAUUUAUGAACAU